rnacentral:rRNA from 1 species
UACGUAGGGUGCGAGCGUUGUCCGGAAUUAUUGGGCGUAAAGGGCUCGUAGGCGGUGUGUCGCGUCGGCCGUGAAAACCUGCAGCUUAACUGUGGGCUUGCGGUCGAUACGGGCAUCACUGGAGUUCGGCAGGGGAGACUGGAAUUCCUGGUGUAGCGGUGGAAUGCGCAGAUAUCUGGAGGAACACCGGUGGCGAAGGCGGCAUCCUGGACCGACAUUGACGCUGAGGCGCGGAAAGCCAGGGGAGCAAACGGG